rnacentral:snoRNA from 1 species
UCAAGUUUGACAACACUCUGGUGCCUUAUAUUUUGAAAUUUCAUUUCAAAAAAAUUCCGUAUUUGGUUCCUAUUUUGGCUCAAACAAGAUUAAACUGACAAUUACUCAUCGAGAUAAUCCUCCCAUGAUUAUAUUGAUCCAUCUUUCACUCGUCAGAAAU